rnacentral:sRNA from 1 species
CUUGGUCAUUUAGAGGAAGUAAAAGUCGUAACAAGGUCUCCGUUGGUGAACCAGCGGAGGGAUCAUUACAGAGUUGCAAAACUCCCUAAACCAUCGCGAACCCACCCCUAAACAGUUGCUUCGGCGGCGCCCGAAGGCCCUCACCGGCCGGAGUGCCCGCCGGGGACCCCCCAAACUCUUGUUUUUAACAAAAUGGCCUCUCUGAGUACUGUACUUUAAUAAGUCAAAACUUUCAACAACGGAUCUCUUGGUUCUGGCAUCGAUGAAGAACGCAGCGAAAUGCGAUAAGUAGUGUGAAUUGCAGAAUUCAGUGAAUCAUCGAAUCUUUGAACGCACAUUGCGCCCCUUGGUAUUCCAUGGGGCAUGCCUGUUCGAGCGUCAUUUGUACCUUCAAGCUCUGCUUGGUGUUGGGUGUUUGUCUCGCCUCUGCGUGUAGACUCGCCUUAAAACAAUUGGCAGCCGGCGUAUUGAUUUCGGAGCGCAGUACAUCUCGCGCUUUGCACUCACAACGACGACGUCCAAAAGUACAUUUUUACACUCUUGACCUCGGAUCAGGUAGGGAUACCCGCUGAACUUAAGCAUAUCAAUAAGCGGAGGAAAAGAAACCAACAGGGAUUGCCCUAGUAACGGCGAGUGAAGCGGCAACAGCUCAAAUUUGAAAUCUGGCGUCUUUGGCGUCCGAGUUGUAAUUUGCAGAGGGCGCUUUGGCAUUGGCAGCGGUCCAAGUUCCUUGGAACAGGACGUCACAGAGGGUGAGAAUCCCGUACGUGGUCGCUAGCCUUUACCGUGUAAAGCCCCUUCGACGAGUCGAGUUGUUUGGGAAU